rnacentral:tRNA from 1 species
GGGCAUGUAGCUCAGUGGUAGAGCACACGACUGAUAAUCGUGAGGUCGAAGGUUCGAUCCCUUCCGUGCCCACCA